UACGUAGGGUGCGAGCGUUAAUCGGAAUUACUGGGCGUAAAGCAUGCGCAGGCGGUUUUGUAAGCCAGAUGUGAAAUCCCCGGGCUUAACCUGGGAAUGGCAUUUGGGACUGCAAGGCUGGAGUGCGGCAGAGGAGACUGGAAUUCCUGGUGUAGCAGUGAAAUUCGUAGAUAUUCGGAAGAACACCAGUGGCGAAGGCGGCUCACUGGCCCGUUACCGACGCUCAGGCGCGACAGCGUGGGGAGCAAACAGG
rnacentral:rRNA from 1 species